rnacentral:rRNA from 1 species
UACGUAGGGGGCGAGCGUUGUCCGGAAUGACUGGGCGUAAAGGGCGUGUAGGCGGCCGAUUAAGUAUGGAGUGAAAGUCCUGCAUUCAAUGUGGGAAUUGCUUUGUAGACUGGUUGGCUUGAGUGCGGAAGAGGUAAGCGGGAUUCCCAGUGUAGCGGUGAAAUGCGUAGAGAUUGGGAGGAACACCAGUGGCGAAGGCGACUUACUGGGCCGUAACUGACGCUGAGGCGCGAAAGCGUGGGGAGCGAAC